AACUCGGUGUUUUUCAACACCACCAACAAUUGAGACACCAUUACAU
rfam:Volvox carteri f. nagariensis unplaced genomic scaffold VOLCAscaffold_5, whole genome shotgun sequence.